rnacentral:rRNA from 1 species
CCUACGGGUGGCAGCAGUGGGGAAUAUUGCACAAUGGGGGAAACCCUGAUGCAGCAACGCCGCGUGGGUGAAGAAGUAUUUCGGUAUGUAAAGCCCUAUCAGCAGGGAAGAGAAUGACGGUACCUGACUAAGAAGCCCCGGCUAACUACGUGCCAGCAGCCGCGGUAAUACGUAGGGGGCAAGCGUUAUCCGGAUUUACUGGGGGGAAAGGGAGCGUAGACGGUUGUGCAAGUCUGAAGUGAAAGCCCGCGGCUCAACUGCGGAACGGCGUUGGAAAAUGUGUAACUGGAGUGCAGGAGAGGGAAGCGGAAUUCCUGGUGUAGCGGUGAAAUGCGUAGAGAUCAGGAGGAACACCGGCGGCGAAGGCGGCUUACUGGACAGUAACUGACGUUGAGGCUCGAAAGCGUGGGGAGCAAACAGGAUUAGAUACCCGAGUAGUC